rnacentral:rRNA from 1 species
AUACGGAGGAUGCGAGCGUUAUCCGGAUUUAUUGGGUUUAAAGGGAGCGUAGGUGGGAUAUUAAGUCAGCUGUGAAAGUUUGGGGCUCAACCUUAAAAUUGCAGUUGAUACUGGUUUCCUUGAGUACGGUACAGGUGGGCGGAAUUCGUGGUGUAGCGGUGAAAUGCUUAGAUAUCACGAAGAACUCCGAUCGCGAAGGCAGCUCACCGGGCCGGAACUGACACUGAUGCUCGAAAGUGCGGGUAUCAAACAGGAUUAGAUACCCUGGUAGUCCGCACAGUAAACGAUGAAUACUCGCUGUUUGCGAUACACGGUAAGCGGCCAAGCGAAAGCGUUAAGUAUUCCACCUGGGGAGUACGCCGGCAACGGUGAAAAUCAAAGGAAUUGACGGG